rnacentral:lncRNA from 1 species
GCUGGGACCCCAUUUAGGGAAACGGCCUGCUCCAGAGGAAGUCCCCAAGUGUCAAGUGGCCCCGGGAAGGCUCCGCGGGGUUGCGGGGACUCCACAGUGCAGUUCGGUCCCGCGAGUGUCUCUCCAGCCCUCGCCUUCUCCCCUCCACUCCCCUCUCCACAGCCCCCGCCCCGCGCCAGUCCCGGGCGGCGGAGGCGAAGCCCACCGAGCCUAGAGAGAGCGAAGCCGCCCCCUGCUGGCCAGAUGAGGCAGGCGCGGCCAACAGCUCCGCUCCCCUCCGUCCCGCCGGCGCGCCUGCCCGGACCCAGCGCGACCCUCCUGUGCCCCCAGCGAGGGGGACGUGUUCAAAGAAACAGAAAACAAAACAAAAACAAACCAAGGGCCAAAACCACUCUCACCUCGUUUGCUGCUCAAAGAGAGAAGAAAGCACAAUUGAGGAAGAUGCUCUCCCAACACUAAACAAGUUUUUAGUUCUGAGUCAGGUACAUCCUCCUACAGCUAGAACCACCUAAUGGAAGCAUAUCUUCGCAUCCUACAUUUCCAGUGCUACAGCAGAUUCAGACAGUAUUUCACAUUCCAAACUCAGCGCUGACUUCUCAGCCAAGGUAAGUGUUAUCCCUGAUGUUGAGGACUAUCUGAAUCAAUAGCAAAGCAUUCUGUCUAGUCAAAUUUACAUGGUGACUCAGUUAACAUAAUACAAAUUCAUGUCAGUUGCAGAGGAAUUGUUUUUAAAAUGCUUUGCUGUGAUCUAUUUCUUAGAACUGAUUAGCAACAAAUUACUAAUGACCAUUCUAUCAGUGCAUCAGUAUACUUUGAUGCACUAGUAAUUUAGACAGGCAUUUUUCCUCAUACUGCUUAUCAAGUACUUUGUGAUACAUACAUAUAUUUUUCAAGUGCCAUUUAGAAAAUAUUAACUAGAAUUGCUGCUUCCACAGAAAUUUUCAGUCACUUAUUUUGUUUCCAAUUAAGAAAUGUAUUUCAAAGGCAGUUAAAGCUGAUUAAAAAAUCUG